CAAAGAAGCGAACACCCGAGCCCGGAGCCCGGAGCCCCCAGCGUGGGCGCAAGCCCCUCCGCAGCCUGGUGGAGCCGGCGCGGGAGGCCCGGGGCACGUGCGGACGGGAGCCCCCCGGCCCGGCGCGCCCGGGACGUGAGUGCCCCUUGCCGUCUCCGGCACCCGACCCCUUCCCCGCCCGCCGCGCGCGCUAGGGCGCCUCUCCAGCCGUCCGAGCAGGCCCCGCCCUCCGCCGCGGCCACAGCCAGCCUGGGAGGCCGCACGGACCCGGGCUGCGGAGAUCCUGCAGCCGAGGCCCCCCGAGCCCGCGAAGCGUCGGCGGGAAGGCCGUCCCCGCCUGGACGCAGCGGGGAGGCCGUCGCGCGCCCGCUGUCUGCUCGGCUGCUCGCAGCCCGCGCGAGGACAGAAGAGGCGGGCGCCGGGCGGGCGCGCUGCGGCUUCAGCGAGCGGCGCCGGGUGCACGCCGCGCCUCCACCGGGCGGUGACAGCGGCCGCCGCUCCGCACCGGGGCAGGGGGACUCGGAGGGCGCGGCCAGGCGGUGCGCCGGACCGGACGCCGCGCGCGACACAAAAGGCUCGCCAGGCAGGCAAGAGGGGCCGUGGCCCUGCGGCGGCGCUGCUCGGGACUCUCCGCCCGCGCGGCUCGCGCGGCUCGUCCUCCCGGCCCGGCCCCCCGGGGCGACCGCGCUCCUCACCCGGAGCCCCGCGAUGGAGGUCCCGCCCCGGCUCUCCCAUGUGCCGCCGCCAUUGUUCCCCUCCGCUCCCGCUCCUUUAGCCUCCCGCAGCCUCUCCCAUUGGCGGCCGCGGGCUCCCCGGCAGCUCGCCCCGCUCCUCCCUUCGCUCGCCUCCAGCGGCUCCCGCCAGGGGGCGCGCCGGAGCCCGCGCCACGUCACCGCCCAGCAGCCCUCCCGAUUGGCGGGCGGGGCGGCUAUAAAGGGAGGGCGCAGGCGGCGGCCGGACCUCUUCCGCCGCCAUUUUAAAUCCGGCUCCAUACAACGCUCCGCCGCCGCCGCCGCCGGGACCAGGACUGCGCGCCAGCACCCCCUCGCCGACGGCUCCGCCACCAUGGAGGACAUGAAUGAGUACAGCAACAUAGAGGAGUUCGCAGAGGGAUCCAAGAUCAACGCGAGCAAGAACCAGCAGGAUGACGGUAAAAUGUUUAUUGGAGGCUUGAGCUGGGAUACAAGCAAGAAAGAUCUGACUGAAUAUUUGUCUCGAUUUGGGGAAGUUGUAGACUGCACAAUUAAAACAGAUCCAGUCACUGGAAGAUCAAGAGGAUUUGGAUUUGUGCUUUUCAAAGAUGCGGCUAGUGUGGAUAAGGUCUUGGAACUGAAAGAACACAAACUGGAUGGCAAAUUGAUAGACCCCAAAAGGGCCAAAGCUUUAAAGGGGAAAGAGCCCCCUAAAAAGGUUUUUGUGGGUGGACUGAGUCCAGAUACUUCAGAAGAACAAAUUAAAGAAUACUUUGGAGCCUUUGGAGAGAUAGAAAAUAUUGAGCUUCCCAUGGAUACAAAAACAAAUGAAAGAAGAGGGUUCUGUUUUAUCACAUACACAGAUGAAGAGCCAGUAAAGAAAUUGUUAGAAAGCAGAUACCAUCAAAUAGGUUCUGGGAAGUGUGAAAUCAAAGUUGCACAACCCAAAGAGGUAUACAGGCAGCAACAACAACAACAGAAAGGUGGAAGAGGUGCUGCAGCUGGUGGAAGAGGUGGUGCUAGGGGGCGUGGAAGAGGUCAGGGCCAAAACUGGAACCAAGGAUUUAAUAACUAUUAUGAUCAAGGAUAUGGAAAUUAUAAUAGUGCCUAUGGUGGUGAUCAAAACUAUAGUGGCUAUGGCGGCUAUGAUUAUACUGGGUAUAACUAUGGGAACUAUGGAUAUGGACAGGGCUAUGCGGACUACAGCGGUCAACAGAGCACUUAUGGCAAGGCAUCCCGAGGGGGUGGCAAUCACCAGAAUAAUUACCAGCCCUACUAAAAGAGGACGAUGGAGGAAAGCAGCGGGAACUUCAUUGCAGGCCGUGUGUCACCCUGACCACGUCUAUCUCUGGGGGUCGCACGUUGCGGGCAGAGCGCAAGGCAUACACCAGAAAACGCUGUCCUGUGGAGGUGUAAAGAAACCAUCUUACAGGACGACAUUGAAGAUUGCUUGGUCUUCUGUUGACCUAAGAUGAUUAUUUUGUAAAAGACUGUAGUGUAUGUGACACAAUUGUGUCCCACUGUAUAUAGCUGCCAAUUAGUUCCUUUGUUUUUACUUUGUCCUUUGCUAUCUGUGUUAUGACUCAAUGUGGAUUUGUGUUUAUACAAAUUUUUAUUUGUAUGAUUUUUAUGUUAAACCUCAAAUAAAUGCUUCCUUAUGUGAUUGUU